GACGAACGCUGGCGGCGUGCUUAACACAUGCAAGUCGAACGGAAAGGCCCUGCUUUUGUGGGGUGCUCGAUUGGCGAACGGGUGAGUAACACGUGAGUAACCCGUCCUUGUCUUUGGGAUAUCUCUAGGAAACUGGGGCUAUUAUCGGAUAGGAGCUCUUGCUCCAUGUGGGUGGUUGGAAAGUUUCGGCGUUUGGGGAUGGUGUGGCGGGUUAUCAGCUGGUUUGUGGGGUAGUGGCUUACCAGGGGUUCGACGGGUAGCCGGCAUGGGAGGGUGACCGGGGACAUUGGGACUGCGGUACGGACCAGACGCGUACGGGAGGCAGCAGUGGAGAGUAUUGCACAAUGAGCGGAAGCGUGAUACAGAGACGCCGCGUGCGGAAUGACGGCCUUCGGGUUGAGAACCAAUGUGGCAUGUAACGAAGCGUGAGUGACGGUAAUGAGUAAAGAAGCAACGGCUAACUACGUG
rnacentral:rRNA from 1 species